UAGGGAAUCUUCGGCAAUGGACGAAAGUCUGACCGAGCAACGCCGCGUGAGUGAAGAAGGUUUUCGGAUCGUAAAACUCUGUUGUUAGAGAAGAACAAGGACGUUAGUAACUGAACGUCCCCUGACGGUAUCUAACCAGAAAGCCACGGCUAACUACGUGCCAGCAGCCGCGGUAAUACGUAGGUGGCAAGCGUUGUCCGGAUGUAUUGGGCGUAAAGCGAGCGCAGGCGGUUUCUUAAGUCUGAUGUGAAAGCCCCCGGCUCAACCGGGGAAGGUCAUUGGAAACUGGGAGACUUGAGUGCAGAAGAGGAGAGUGGAAUUCCAUGUGUAGCGGUGAAAUGCGUAGAUAUAUGGAGGAACACCAGUGGCGAAGGCGGCUCUCUGGUCUGUAACUGACGCUGAGGCUCGAAAGCGUGGGGAGCAAACAGG
rnacentral:rRNA from 1 species